CGCCUUCUGAAACCCUUAUAGAAGGUUCAACCUGCCCAGUGAAACGUUCAACGGCCGCGGUACCCUGACCGUGCUAAGGUAGCGCAAUCACUUGCCCUUUAAUUGGGGGCUAGUAUGAAUGGUCAAACGAGGGUGAAGCUGUCUCACUGAGGCCUCCUAGAAAUUAUCCUUCACGUGAAGAGACCUGAUUAUUAUAGAAAGACGAGAAGACCCUGUCAAGCUUUACAUUACCGCACGUCACUUAAACCACCACGCGCCAAAUGUUUUGUUGGGGCAACACAGGAACAAAAUCUUCCUUACCACAACUUUUAUACUCCAAACAAUCCGGCAAAGCCGAACAGAGACAAAGCUACUGCAGGGAUAACAGGCUAAUCUGCUUCAAGAGCCCACAUUGACAAGCAGGCUUGGCACCUCGAUGUUGGCUUAAGAACCCUUUCUGGGGCAGCCCCCAGAAAAAGGAGGUUUGUUCAACCUAUAACUUCUUACA
rnacentral:rRNA from 1 species